UUUGCACGAUUUCGGUGAUGA
ensembl:piRNA 21ur-6195 ncRNA